AAGUCCUUUAAUUACUGUCCAGAGAGGCAGGCAAGGAGCUAUGAGAAGUGCGCAGGUGAACUGUGCCAUGUUUUUGUGUAUCUCCUUGUUUCAAGGGGAUUUUUUGUAU
rfam:Streptococcus thermophilus CNCM I-1630 Contig0163, whole genome shotgun sequence.